ACGUCCCGCCUCGUGAUCGUCUUCUCACCCUUCACGACGGCGGGCGGAAACAAGGAAGCCCCCGCGAGGACGUGACUCGCGGGGGCUCUCC
rnacentral:ncRNA from 1 species